UCCACGCCCUGGUGGCGCCGGAGGAAGGAGCUGGCCUGUCAGCUCCUAAGGGGAGCAGCGCCAGGCCCUAGGGAGGCUUGGGUUGUCCUCAGCCCAAAGCCACCACACCCGGGACAUAAUAGCACCCGGGUCUGUUACAGUAGGAAGUACUAUUUUAAAAGAAGCAACCCUCGUAAUUCAUGGGGAUGGUGGAUGUUACUCUGGUCCAGAGCUUUACAGCCUGGAUUCCCUAGGUUUUUAGGCAUACAGGAGCCUAAGUGGCAUUUGGAUGGAUGGAUGGAUGGAUGGAUGGAUGGAUGGAUGGAUGGAUGGAUGGAUGGAUGGAUGGAUGGAUGGAUGAUAGACAAACAGAUAGAUAAAUAAAAUUUAGGAUUUUUUUUUGAGAAAGUCAUAGCCACUUAUACAAUACUCAGCAAUGUGAAGGGACCACCUUAUCUUGCUGCACCUAAUUACUGAGCACUGACUCAACUCCAAGGUAAAAAUUCUCUCCAUUGUAUAGCUCAUCAUAAAUUAGGUUUAAGACGGUCAUUACAGCUUUAAAGAUAAAAUUAUCCAUCUGCUUUUCUGAAAUUAUCUUGAAUAUUGGCUUUGUUUUUCUCAAGAAUAUGUCUACAUGAACAUGAGAGGUGUGGCGGUCCCAAGAAUCUGGACCACCAAAUUCUCCAAAUCAGAAGCAGGACCCCACCCUAACCAUCUCCACCAGAUGCCCUGGGCCACCCUCUUAAAGCUCCUUAUUUAAACAGAGCCCGAGGAAUGAUGGGAUAGCAAGAAAAGAUGCCCAGGUCCUAUCCCAGCACAAAUGCUGCUCUUGCUUCCCCACCAAGGACCUGAAGAUCAAGGACCUAACAUUGGCCUUGCACUAGUGAAACCGGCACUCACGUUAACUGAUCUCACAUCGCUGAGCCAUAGGCCCCAGAGAAGAGUCCUCUCCACUGAAGAAUUUCAAGGUCCUGAAGAUUUAAAAAAAAGCAAUAGUAUUAUUUUCAAACAUCAAUAUUUUCAAUUUGAAAAUGUCAACUGGAGAUUAACUGAGUCAACACACCAGACAAAAACAGUCUCCAAGCUGGCUAACAGAAAAACACAGGUCACUCAGGACGUGGAUAGCACUGAGCUGGGCUGGAACCGCACGCACGUGUUGAAAAUUCAGACAAAGCCUUCUAUUCUCAGGCCACAGACAAGAAGUGCUCAGCCAGGAAGAAAGCAGGGUGCCCUUUCAAGGACAAAGGCCUGAUGAUCUCCAGUCCUGGCACAGAGUACCUGGGGAGUAUUGAAUGGAGGAGGAGGCUCAGGAAGCUGAAGUGCACAGAGCCCACAGAAAUCUCAGUGCACACAAGUUCUCAAAGUCCAUGUUCAUCCCAGGCAUCCACACCAUACCAGAGACUCUGCUCUUUUCUCAAUUUCCCAAAAAGACUGUCUGGAAGUGCCUAGAUCAAGCUGGACUUAAACUUGAAGUACUUUUUCUGACUGGCUCACCAGUGCUGGGAUCACAAACAUGUGCCACCAAACCUGGGCCUUGAAACACCAAUUUUGAUUGCUGUCUCUCAUCUUUUGAGAGCUCCGGAUCAUUCCAACUUGUGAAAAGCCAUCAAAUCCUACCCGUGAUCCACCCAACGAACCACUGAGAUGACUGUAACUCACUGAGUUGGACUUUCCUCACCCUUAACAUGAAAACCCUCAUAGGAGACUUGGCAUCUUUGAGAGCUGUGAUGAAGACUGGAGCCUGGCACUCAGCCAGAAUUCUGACCACGGCCGUCCUCAUCACUAUUGCUUGUCCUUGCUGGGCAACAGUUAGGUAAGGGCAAGGUCUGCUUCCUUGUCUUUAUAUGAUUCUCCAGUGUCUAUACAAUAUUGAUGCCCAUUUUAGAAACCUGAAUGUCACUUGGCAAUCCUUUAGAAAAGCUCUGAGAAACUGGCAUGAAAGCCAGGUUACGGGUCAGUGAACACCAGCCCCAGGUGGGCAGCUAUAGGAAUGAGACCGUUCCUGGGGUGGUGGGAUUGCAGGAUUCUCCCUGUGAGGCAUUCCAGGGUUACAGACGUCAUUGCUGCUUCUUUUCUGUGUUAAUUUGUUGGAGCUUAAUCUGCAUUAUUCACACUAGCAAUGGUUCCUUCGGGUGGUCUGGUCAGAGGGCUUUGGUCGGGGGUUUCCUGAUAAAACUCCUAUGUGAUGGUCCAUUUUAGUAGCAGGUGUGGAGUUGCAGGCCUGCCUAACCAGUACCAUUAUGUGUCCAUUAAGUGUUGUAGGAGUCCACCUGUACACAAUAAUGAGGCUCUGUGUCUUCUGUAGCUGCUGCAAACACUCCUAGGAUUGUCACUUGCCUUGCCCAAGCAACAUUUUUAAGCAUGAGGCAUAGCCCUACCUAAGUGUUUGGUGGCACCUCUCUGUGACUCCUCCUAGCGUGUCAUCAUUUGUCCCUCCCUACCUCCUGGCAUACACCCACAGCAGCACUGAAUUGCAAAGUGCAAAAGAACUCAUUUCUUUUCUGAUAGUCUGCAUGAGCCCAUCCACAAGCCCCCACCCAGCUGCUACCUGAUGUUAAGCAGAGCCAACUGGAGAGCUGGGGCCCGGACAGGCACAUCGCUCAGAGGCUGAUUCAGCAGUUCUGCUGCACUCUGGGAAAUUCCUCCUAGGGUGAUCUGUUCAGUGCUUCUCCAAUUUUGUCCUUGAGAAACACCAGUGUGAACGGUCCUCCCUUCCUAAUAGCAACACUUACCAGUACCUUCUGGAGAGACACACUGUCCCUGGGUACCAUUUUCAGCCACCUAGUCCUACCGAGAAUAUGUUACGGACCACAGCCUUGGACACGAUACUGGUAUUCCAUAGUCAGCCAUGAUGUAUACCUGGAACUUAACCCUCACCACCACACCAGGAGAUGCCAGUCGUGGCUUAAUGACUAGCAAAGCCCAGAGUUACACCCAGCUAUCCCCUCUCCAAAACCCUGUGUGGCCUCAUGUGGGGACUUUUAGAAAAAUCUCUAGAGUCACUUUCUUAUGAAGAUCUAAGUAAUUCAAGCUCCUGUGCAGACCACUGCUACCCUGAUCCAUCUGGCUUCACCACCAACUCCAGGUCCCCACCUCCUCUUCUGCUCUGCCAACACAAGUUCUGCAAACAAUAUUGCUGAGCUCAGUGUCUUCUCAGCCUCCUCCCAGCAGAGGCUCCUCAACCUGCCCAUGCACGCCCAUCCGGGGUAGAUGUCACCAGCUGCACACCCCCUACUCUGUGCUUUCUUGACCCUCGGGUUUACUGUCCAGCAUCCCUGGAACUGUCUCUGCCUCCCUCUGUCUACCUCAACAGAGCAGUCCCUAAGGUGAUCCGGCUGGCUGUUCUCUUGGGUAACUGUCCACUGAUUAAACGAUGUUGGGUCUCACCCCUCUGCCCCUUA